UGGUGUAGCUCAGUCGGUAGAGCAGCUGAUUUGUAAUCAGCAGGUCGGGGGUUCGAGUCC
rnacentral:tRNA from 1 species